rnacentral:lncRNA from 1 species
GUGAGUUCUUGAUCUAUUAAUUCCUGUGAGAACUGAUUGUGAAAAACAGCCUGGCUCCUCCCUCCCCGCUCUCUCUUGCUUCCUCUCUCACCAUAUGAUCUGUACACACCAGUUCCCUUUUGCCUUCUGCCAUGAACAAAAGCAGCCUGAAGCUCUCAUCUGACAUACAUGCUGGUGCUGUGCUACUUGCACAGCAUGCAGAACGGGAUCUUUCUGGAGGAAAAGCUGGGGCCAGCCAUGGCAGGAGAGGUAUGGAAUCUGCCACGUGAGGCCUGCUGUUUGCCUGCCAGCCCAACUUCCUGUUGCUUGCCCCUACCCUCUGCGCCUUUGCCUGUCCUCAGGCCGCUGGAACAAAGGAAGGACAGCUCAUUCCCCAUGGGCGAUAACUUCGCACCUAAAGGGUAGAGCCUGGGGGAGCUUGAGGGUGGGCUGGGGGCUCCUUGUCUUGGGUUCACAGCUGUCUCCACGCCCCGUCCCUCAGCACUACUGGUGCCACCUCCCACACUGGGCUGCUGCUUUCUGCGCAGCCACUGCGCCGCCUCCCCCAAACUGUCAUGGAAAGAGUGGAGAAUGGGGGAGAACCAGGCGUCCUUGGAGGCAGCCUGGGAGGGCGACUGUGUAAUGUCACCCACAAGGGAGGCUAGGGCAACGGAGCAGUCCAACAGCAGCAGCAGCUGCUGCGUGAAUGUGCAGCAUGGAACCCGGGCCAGGCCAGGAUCCGGGGUUGUGGGAUCUGCUCGGAGUUUUCUGCCCCACACCCCGAGCUUCUGGCAAGGAGCAAGGCUUGCGAACAAGUCAGAAGGAUUUGAACUGAGCAGCUAAUCUUUUCAGCGCCCAACCCCCACCCCCCACCCCGCAAACACUAAACUCUGCCUGGAGAUGCAGCGGCCUGUGUCAUCCAGGGCCUCUGGUUUGUUGUAUUAUAGUAUAUUUCGCUGUGGAAAAUAUCACGUUUAUUCACCUUGCAGCCCACUCACCUGGUCCUGUUGUUUUACCCCAUCUCUUCUCCCGCGCGCCCUUUGAUUUCUCGUUUCUGAGAAGAGUACACCGUUCACUAUUGUAGAGUAAUCCCUGUGACUCAGUAUUACCAUAGCGCGAUGUCGUUUUGUGCUAUUUUGAACAAUUAAAAUACUUUUUGAAAUAAAAAAAAGAGAAAGAGUCUUCAAUUGUGUUCAGUAAUGGUCCAAAAUCCUGGAGUCACUCAAAAUUCACAUUCAUUUAUCAGCCAUAGUUGGUGAAUGUUCAAUGUUCAUGAUUGCUUAAAAGCUUCAGCUGGUUAGCACUAGUUAGGGUGAAACACAGCAUAUCAUAUAGUCCAAUUAUAUCAUAGGCAAUCACUGCUUUAAGUUGAAAAUCUUUCUUUUAGAUAUCUCAUUGUUGCCAUCACUUACCAUCUACUAUAAUUAUAUAGAAGGCUUAUAUUCUAUUCUGGUGAUUCACUUGAGCAUUUAACUGCAUUCUUACAUUCUUC